ensembl:lncRNA
AGGUCCCAGAGCGGUCAGAAUAGUGGUACCGUAGGUCCCAGAGUGGUCAGACUGGUGGCACCAUAGGUCCCAGAGUGGUCAGACUGGUGGCAGGUCCCAGAGUGGUCAGACUGGUGGUAGGUCCCAGAGUGGUCAGACUGGUGGCACCAUAGGUCCUAGAGCGGUCAGACUGGUGGCACCAUAUGUCCCAGAGCGGUCAGACUGGUGGCACCGUAGGUCCCGGAGUGGUCAGACUGGUGGCACCGUAGGUCCCAGAGCGGUCAGACUGGUGGCAGGUCCCAGAUUGGUCAGACUGGUGGCAGUUCCCAGAGCGGUCAGACUGGUGGCACCAUAGGUCCCAGAGUGGUCAGACUGGUGGCAGGUCCCAGAGUGGUCAGACUGGUGGCACCACAGGUCCCAGAGUGGUCAGACUGGUGGCACCGUAGGUCCCAGAGCGGUCAGACUGGUGGCACCGUCUGUUCCAGAGUGGUCAGACUGGUGGCAGGUCCCAGAGCGGUCAGACUGGUGGCAGGUCCCAGAGCGGUCAGACUGGUGGCAGGUCCCAGAGCGGUCAGACUGGUGGCAGGUCCCAGAGCGGUCAGACUGGUGGCACCAUCGGUCCCAGAGUGGUCAGACUGGUGGCACCGUAGGUCCCAGAGUGGUCAGACUGGUGGCAGGUCCCAGAGUGGUCAGACUGGUGGCAGGUCCCAGAGUGGUCAGACUGGUGGCAGGUCCCAGAGUGGUCAGACUGGUGGCACCGUAGGUCCCAGAGUGGUCAGACUGGUGGCACCGUAGGUCCCAGAGUGGUCAGACUGGUGGCACCGUAGGUCCCAGAGUGGUCAGACUGGUGGCA